rnacentral:rRNA from 1 species
AUUGAACGCUGGCGGCAGGCCUAACACAUGCAAGUCGAGCGGAUGAAGGGAGCUUGCUCCUGGAUUCAGCGGCGGACGGGUGAGUAAUGCCUAGGAAUCUGCCUGGUAGUGGGGGAUAACGUCCGGAAACGGGCGCUAAUACCGCAUACGUCCUGAGGGAGAAAGUGGGGGAUCUUCGGACCUCACGCUAUCAGAUGAGCCUAGGUCGGAUUAGCUAGUUGGUGGGGUAAAGGCCUACCAAGGCGACGAUCCGUAACUGGUCUGAGAGGAUGAUCAGUCACACUGGAACUGAGACACGGUCCAGACCCCUACGGGAGGCAGCAGUGGGGAAUAUUGGACAAGGGGCGAAAUCCUGAUCCAGCCAUGCCGCGUGUUUGAAGAAGGUCUUCGGAUUGUAAAGCACUUUAAGUUGGGAGGAAGGGCAGUAAGUUAAUAACUUGCUGUUUUGACGUUACCAACAGAAUAAGCACCGGCUAACUUCGUG